rnacentral:rRNA from 1 species
AGCAGCCGCGGUAAUUCCAGCUCCAAUAGCGUAUAUUAAAGUUGUUGCAGUUAAAAAGCUCGUAGUUGAAUUUCGGGAUUGACGUGACGGUCAUGCCUUAAGGGGUAUGAACUGUUACAGUUGAUUUCUCACCUUCUGGAGAAACUUGAUGUCCUUUAUUGGGUGUCUUGCGGAUCCAGGACCUUUACCUUGAAAAAAUUAGAGUGUUUAAAGCAGGCAUUUUUGCUCGAAUACAUUAGCAUGGAAUAAUAGAAUAGGACGGCAUGGUUCUAUUUUGUUGGUUUCUAGGAUCACCGUAAUGAUUAAUAGGGAUAGUUGGGGGCAUUAGUAUUCAAUUGUCAGAGGUGAAAUUCUUGGAUUUAUUGAAGACUAACUACUGCGAAAGCAUUUGCCAAGGAUGUUUUCAUUAAUCAAGAACGAAAGUUAGGGGAUCGAAGACGAUCAGAUACCGUCGUAGUCUUAACCAUAAACUAUGCCGACUAGGAAUCAGACGAUGUUAAUUUUUUAAUGUACUUCGUUU